UGGAAACAUGAUGUAUUUAUUCAGCAUGUCUCUCCCCAAAACACUUAGUGGCUGAGAACUCGCCUUAAAAAAAUACACAAAAUGGUCAAAGAAAAUGUUGAAAUCUAAAAUAAGGUUCAGAUAUGUAUCCAGCUGUUCUAUCAACUUUCUAUAAAACAUUUAAAAAAAAAUCAAUAAUCGAAAUUUGAUUCAUCGCCCAGCCCUAGGGAGCAGUAGUGUGUGCGGUUGUCUGUGGUGUGUUGUGUUGUCAGUGCGCUACAGGGUUUGUGUUGUGUCCCACAGCGUAACAGCCGUUUCAGGCUCUUGGAGGCGGAAUGCAGAAAGGCCAUCGAUGUGGGGGUAGCCAGACGGCAGAAGGAGAUGGGGCUCGGAGAAAAGACUCCCAAAGUCACAACCAUCAAGCAGGCCCGUGAGGAGUUGCUGGAGCUGAGGAGCUCGGAGGGCAAGCUGGCGCGACUCAAUGUCGCGGCCUCACCGAGGAGGCAGCGAGGGGAACGCAUCAGGGCUCUGGCCCUCAGGACAGGGAGGUCAGAGGCGUCCGUCUCCAGAGAACUGCUGCUGCUGUCCAAUGGGAACGCGCAACCUGGACGGACAGGAAGUGAUCCGCCGUCGGCUCCCGAGGUCGUGGCUCGGAUGGAAGAGACGGACUCCGAUGAGGAGAACCUUCCCUCAGACACGCGCGACUACAUCGGCAGCAGCGUCCGUGGUGACGGCAAGGUCGACAUUGAGGCAUUGGCGGAUGACGUAUCAAAUACCGUGGAUGACAAGAAGUGUCUGGUCACGGCCUUCAAGUCUCUACGCUCUGAACUCAACUGUAUGACCGCAACCAAAACGGAACUCCUGGCCUCGGCCUGCAGCGUGAUCUGUGAUCUGAAGGACGAGGAGAAGCUCUGUGAGAAGGUUAUGGUGGCCCUGAGACACCAGCGAGCCCGCCUCAUCAACACCAUCUCUGUUAGAUCUGGGAGGUCAACCAGGAAGAUCCUGGAGAAGCUUCAGAGCAUCACAGCCAAGCAGCGGCAGCUGGAGGUGAGGCGACCCAGAUUCCUUCCAGCAGAGACCGCCACGCCGCUGGACCUCUCGUCCACCACCAGACCACGGAGCCAGCUCCCAGCUCCACCCUGUGCUGCACAGCUGGAUCCGCCGCCCCCCCCUCCUACAGCCAGGUCCCCCCACAGUGCUACCAGGCUGAAGACCGUGCCCAACAUCCUGACCCGAAGGAAGCCGCCCUCUCCGCCUUUGUCCCCCUCGCCGUCCCCUCCCGUCGGGUGGAGCGAGAGUAGAGAAGCUCCGGCCUUCCACACCUCCAUGAUGCCAGCCGGCCUUGUUUCCUUCCUGUGUCCGUUACCAGGGCAACAGGUCCUCACACUGAAGCACAUGGCGUAUGAACCGGGAGCCCCGCCUCCAAACCCAGAUGGUCCUUUCACCACCCUCUUGUACCUGGUGCCCUCAAACACAGCCCUGCAACAACUACAGGGGCCGGCAGUCGAGGAACCUGGGUCCCUACCCCAGCCCCAGACCCUCCAGGCUGGGUCCCUACCCCACCCCCAGACCCUCUUCUCUGCUGGGUCUCAACCCCACCAGACCCUCUUCUCUGCUGGGGCACCACCACCACCCCACCAGACCUUCCCUGCUGGAUCGAUACCCCACCCCCAGACCCUCCCCUCUGGGGUGCCUGUGGCCAAACUUGAAGAGUGUGGGCCCAGGCCCCCGGGCCCCGUCCUGCCCGCGGCCGCCCCCCCCUCGGAGACCCGGCCCGCACUGCUGAUCCCGGACGGGGGUAAGGCCCUCUUCCCUCCCCUGAACCAGCUCUCCUUCCUCAAAGCAAACAUUGGCUCGCCGGCAGACCGGACCGCGCUCUCGUUUGUGCCCGGACACCCGUUCUCAUCCCUGGGCCGUGAGCCCCACAAAGACGGACCCCUCGGACCCUCCCUGUCCACUGAGGACCUGACGGAGGCCACGCAGGUCGACACUCACCUGGAGAAUGCAGCUGGCCCGGAGCCCAACGGUUGCCACGCACUACACUACCCACAAUGCAGUUCAACGAGUGGUACGCUGACACUGCCCCCGCUGCUGCAGAUGAAUGUGGGCGGAGCCAAAGUGAGCGAGUCCACCAAUAAGAGAGCAGUGGGUGCGUGGAAGCCUAUGCCCCGCCUCGCUGCUAUGGGGGUGAAGGGGGGGACCCCCCAUCUGACCUCUGCCCCCUGA
ensembl:lncRNA